UACUCUCUUUAUCUGCGGUGUUACUUCCAUUGUUAGAAGGGAGAUUCUUUUGUUAAAUAUUUAUUUAACGAGGAUCGUGAGGUAAAGAGCCAAGCUUAUUAAAAAAGUUUUGUAUGUCUACAGUGGUGUAUUACUUGUUGUAAAAACUGUAUAUUGCAAAUGUUUUACAAUACUGAAUACACCUUUCCUAUUAAAAUGACUGGUUUCCUGCCAGAAGUAUUUUAAUGGGAUUAAUAAAUCCAUAAAGAAUCUCUAGGCUUUUGGAAACAUUAGCUCACUUUGGUAAUUUUGAGACUUGGUAUAUUGUCUAUAGAAGUGCAUAGUCUACAAAGAUUUCCCGGAUUGGGGGUUUAGGGAAAGGAAAAUAUAAUGCAUUUAUGUUUUCUUAAAAUUUGUAGGUGCCCUUCUGUCCAUUGCCCCAGCUCCCAAUAAAAUAUGUAUAUUUUUUUCAGGGUCUGUUACAGCUUUUCUGUGUAUAUAAGGACUAAGCUCAGAAAUGCUGAGCCACAGCUUCUCCACAGUGUAUGUCCUGGGAUGUGCCAUAGCACUGCUGAAUAUUUUUCUUUAUAGUCUCCUGUUUUGCUUAGUGCAGCCAUCAUGUAGCAUACCUCACAUUUCUUGAACCAGAGGGAUGAGAGCACAGCGGUUACAUAUCUGCAUCAUUUAAUGAAAGGGUGACAGAAUGCCUGAGAGGAAGGUACUGCACUGGAAACUGAGGAGAUUAAGUAAAACCAAGAACCAACAAACUUGACAAGACUGGGACAUGGAAAGCAGAACUACCUUUGCCUGCAUUCAUGCUGUCAAUGUUUUUUCACUUGAGAAACACAACAGAGCUGCUUGAAUUCAUUUGAGAUGUUUCCAGAAACCCAAUUCCAAUUUGAUGACGCAAAAGCUGCAGGACUUGUGCUGUCUUUCAUCUGGAAACUCACAUUGUAGCCAGGCUAGCCAUAAAAAUACUUCUGCUGUUGAAGAAAUGAAGACUUACGGAGGUCUCUGCUGUGAAAGCAGCUUCAGCUCUCCUUCCAAGAAUGAGAAGUUAAAUACAUUUUAAGUAAUAAAAAUAUAUUUUAAGCAAUAAACCUGAGAAUUUUAUCAAAUCAGUAUUAUAGCCUGUAGUUUUCCUAA
rnacentral:lncRNA from 1 species